GACUCUCCAGGAUCAAAGCAGCUAAGUGAGGAGCUGGACCCUGCUUAUAUCACAAGCCACUAUCAUUUGGACCCGCCCCUCCAGCAGGAAUCAUGGAGAGCAAAGCCACAGUGAAGACACCCUGGCAUAUUACGCUCCAUCUGCAAAGCACUUCACAGAUACCAACUAAUUAACCCUCCACUUCCCUCCUGCCCUCCUACCUUAGAAGCAGGUGGCAUCUCCAAAUUAUGUCACAGCUGCUUGCAGAGAGAUAGACACAAGAACAUCCUCAAUGAGGUCCAGGGCUGCAAAACAAAUAGAUGGCACCUGGGGCUUUUGUGAAAUAAAAUUACCACGUAUAAACACAUUGGGAGAGCUGCUGUCACAGUGGCAGGAAGGCUGGCUGGGCUCCAGGGUGUCAGAGACAAGCCAGCCCAUGGUAGGUUGGUAACGCUGUAGGUGCCAGGAGGAAGAGAUGACUGCACUUCCAGGAGUAGGGUCAGGGGGUGGAGCAAAGGCUAUCGAGGAGGUUCCUCAGAGCACCCUGCUCCCAUCCAAGGAGAAUUUUUUAAAAUUUGCUUAGAAGAGAAAGCACAGAUGAAAGACACACAGAUGUAAAGACACAGGGGCAGCAAAGGUGCCCGUCUCCCAUGUGUCUAUGAGCAGAAACGUUUGUCAUGAAUUUCUCCUGCAGGUGUAGGAAAUGACGACAUUCUUCUAAGUUCUGGGUGUCUAUACUCAGCUGGUAACUGCUAAACUAGUUUGGUUUGAACUAUUACUUUUAAUGGGAGAAAGCCCAGGCCUGCGGAAAAUUGCCAUUAUUUUAUAUUUACAAUUAUCAAAAUGUAUUUGUUUUUUAGAUAGAACCUGCUUUGAUUUUAGCUACAACCUGCAUUUGUAAAGCCAAGAGCCAGGAAAGUCAUCAGACCUGGUGAUUUACCUGAUGAAAGAGAGUUCUUCCUGGGGCUAUGUUCUGUUCUGGUUCUGAGUUCCCAGCAGUCUCGUUUUCCAGUGAUUUUGUGUUAUUGAGGGCACUGGAGGCUCCAGGAGAUCCUGAUGAGAGCAAGAGGAGGGGCGUAGGUGGAUGUUGGGCUGGAUAAGUUUGUACAAAGAAGUCACGAUGCCUUUCUUUCUAUCCACCUGGGCCGUUUGUGGUGGAAAACCCCUUAGAGAAACCUCUAAGGAAGGAUAAGCCACAGCCCCUGUGCCUCCAGGACUCAUAGACAGCUGCUGGGGGAGUCAGACAGCCAAGCGGUUACACAAGAGAUGGGCCAAAAGAAGCUUCCUGACAUAGUGGGCCACUCGGACACAGCUGUGUCCCUGUCCCCACGUACACAGCCAGGCCCUAGCAGUGGCACCUUUCACAGGAACACAGAGCAGGGCCAUUAUUUUAUAUUUACAAUUAUCAAAAUGGAUUUGUUUUUUAGAUAGAAUCUGCUUUAAUUUUAGCUACAAGGCAAGGGUUUUACUAAGACCCUGGAGCCAAGAGGGAGUGCCAGGUUGGUGCAGGAAAUGGGGCUGCAGCCCCAUUUGUAUAGGUAAGAGGUGCAUGCACACACACACACACACACACACUUAGAGUCCAACUUCAGCCCCAGUGUGCAGCUGGCCGGAAUGGCUCCUACGGAAAAGAGCAGGUUUUAGGAGAUUCAAGAAGCAGAGCAUUGAAUUCAGGAGCAACAAAACCAGACAGAAGAGUAGGAGGGAGGGGAGCCAGCAGUGGUGAGUGGGCAGCACAGACAAGGCUGACCAUGAGCACAAUAGGUGGGCAGGGCAGGGGCCAGGCCACUGGAGAGGCUAGAGAGCAUGGGUAUGCAGCAGGUCAUGCACAGCUGGGGUCUUGCACAGCUGAG
rnacentral:lncRNA from 1 species